rnacentral:rRNA from 1 species
GAUGAACGCUGACAGAAUGCUUAACACAUGCAAGUCAACUUGAACUUCGGUUUGGGUGGCGGAUGGGUGAGUAACGCGUAAAGAACUUGCCUCACAGCUAGGGACAACAUUUGGAAACGAAUGCUAAUACCUGAUAUUAUGAUUAUAUGGCAUCGUAUAAUUAUGAAAGCUAUAUGCGCUGUGAGAGAGCUUUGCGUCCCAUUAGCUAGUUGGAGAGGUAACAGCUCACCAAGGCGAUGAUGGGUAGCCGGCCUGAGAGGGUGAUCGGCCACAAGGGGACUGAGACACGGCCCUUACUCCUACGGGAGGCAGCAGUGGGGAAUAUUGGACAAUGGACCGAGAGUCUGAUCCAGCAAUUCUGUGUGCACGAUGAAGUUUUUCGGAAUGUAAAGUGCUUUCAGUUGGGAAGAAAAAAAUGACGGUACCAACAGAAGAAGUGACGGCUAAAUACGUG